UUGAUAUUUUUUUUUUGUUUUGAAAAUUUGUGUAGUGUUGGAUUUAUGAACAUUUUUCAUCUAUUGUUGAGACUUUUAUUGAUGAAGACUGAUGUGAUCACUUGAUACAGGUCACAGACUUUGGAUGAUGCCACCUUCAGAGAGGGAAAAUAAGUCAAGGUAAAAGGAUGAAGAAGAUAAAGGUCAGUAGCUGGUGUCUCGCUAAGCGAGACACUUAGCCCGCUUAGUGAGUUGGGAGAAUCUGAAGGAGAAUCUGCCAUGCAUCCGCGCGCUUAGCGCGCCAUCAGCUCGCUUAGCGAGUCGUUUGUCUCUUCUCGCGCUAAGCGUGCCCAGCUCGCUCAGCGGAAUUUCACUAACUCGUGCUUAGCACGAAAAUGGCGCUAAGUGAGCCUUCGAGGUCAGAAAACCCUUUUAAAGGCUGAAGUUGGAAAUGUAGCAUAUAGAGGAGCGUAGAGAGCAAAAUAGAGGCGAAAAACAGAGCAAGGAAGCCAAAAUCCUCAGCUUUCAAGAGGAUUCUAGGUUUAGGAAUAAUUUCUAGGUUCCUAAAGGUGGAGGAGACAUCCCCACCACUUUGUAAUCUGUAAUUUUCUUCAAAAACCUUCAUCUUGUAGCUGAAAGGUGCUUCCUUGUGAUGGAAGACUAAGUUUCUUUGUUGGGAAUUUCUACUAAGCCUUGAUGUAAAUAUUCUUUACUAUCUAUUUAAUGUUGUGUUGAUGUGUU